UGCACCCGAGCCUCGUCCUCGAGUGGAGCCGGAGCCGCACAUCGCCUCAAGCUCCCUUCAGAGGGCUCGUCAAGCAGAAGGUGCCGCUAGGAGAUGAUUUAAAGGUGAAAAUGAAAAGGUUUCCACCCCUCAAACCUUGGCCACUUCUCUGACGGCAGAGUCCGAGUGCUCAGAUGUCUUCUUUACUCUGGGAAUAGGAUUUGUAACGAAAAAGACUUUUUUAUUUUUGUUUUUUAAUCCCGAUCAAGAAGAUUAUUGGGAAGCUAUUAAAAAAUCCCUUAUUGUGGUACAGAUGGAUUUUAAAAAGUGUUAGAUCUUUCCAAUGAACACUAUUAGAGUGCUGUCCUCUUGGUUGGAUUACUCAGAGAAUGGCAGUGGUCUCUGCAAUGUCCUGGGUCCUGUAUUUGUGGAUAAGUGCCUGUGCAAUGCUGCUCUGUCAGGGGUCCCUCCAUCACACUUUCCAGCAGCAUCACCUGCACAGACCAG